rnacentral:rRNA from 1 species
UAGGCGUAAAUGAUGCGAGUUAAGUGUACUGGUGACCACGAGUCACCGGGUGCCGAAGGGAAACCGUGAAACGUGCCGCCUGGGAAGUACGGUCGCAAGGCUGAAACUUAAAGGAAUUGGCGGGGGGAGCACCACAACGGGUGGAGCCUGCGGUUUAAUCGGACUCAACGCCGGAAAUCUCACCGGAUAGGACAGACAUAUGAUAGUCGGGCUGAAGACUCUACUUGAUGAUCUGAGAGGAGGUGCAUGGCGUCAGUGACU